rnacentral:lncRNA from 1 species
CCGCUCCGAGGGGCCCACCCGCGAGCAGCGGGGAAGGCGGGGACCCGGGCCCCGCGGGCCUGCAGCGCCCCCGCACCCGGUUCCACGCGCCCAGGGCCGCCCCCGCGGAGAGAGGGGGCGCGAGGGGCGCGCCUCUCGCUCGGACACCCUCUCCCAGCUCGCGCCCCAGGUAACUUAAACCCAAUUAUAAAUGGCUUUGGCUAUAAAGUGUUCUUGAAUGAAAACGUUUAGGAAGUAGGCCUGGAUUCAGAUGCUUCAGAGGCUCAAAGGAAACAGGAAUCGUGGCUAACCAAAUCCAGCCCAACUGCUUCCUUGUUCACAUGGGGAAAUCGAGGAAGGCCCGGGGAGAGGAAGGCCUGGGGAGAGGAAGUUACUUGCCCAAGUUGCCCAGUUAAUUAGCCACAGAACCCAUGUCCCCCAACUCUGAAACAAGUUCCAGUUAAAGUCUUCACUGAUAACUUUAAAUCCUCCACUAACCAAGGGAGUCAUCUUUGCAUUUGCACAGAGGAGAUGGGAAAAUCACAAAGCCCUUAAGGUCCAGAAGAAAUGAGUGUCACUACGUUGGGCUCCCAGGCUGUGCAACAAGCUGUGGACGGAGAUGUCCGGGCAGGGAGCCCGGUCCAGCUCCCCACCCAUCGCAUCAUGGAGUCAGCCGUCUCCUCUGGGGACUGCACCCUCUGGGUGCUGAGAAAUCCAAAUGGCUCUUUCUCAUGCAGCCGCCCCAAGUGGGCAGGAUGGCCCUUCUCUUGAUUUGUUUCCUGCUUACUUUGUGAGAGUCAAAGUGCAUCCUUCAGGACCAAAGUGGCCAAGGGGCCAGCAUGUUAUUUAGAGUGAUCAAAAUGGACCAUUUUCAACUUGGCCCUAUUUCAGCUCCAGAGCUGUGGUUUCCACUUGCUUUUACUUAUCUGUAUUUUCUAACAUUUCUUUAGCAAAUUUGUAUUACUUUGGCAAUUAGAAAAAAUGACCAGUAAUUUUUAUAAAAGGAUUUGUGUUUGAUUUCCUUUCAGAAAGGCACUUUCAUUUAUUAAAAGAUCACAAUGAGAAGUGAAAUUAAGUUGAUCUUUCUCUCUGGCAAGGAUGUGUGGGGAGGAAUGGGGAGGUGAAUGCUGGGAGCAGAAGCCACAGCUGCAGAGCACUGCAGUGAGUGAAGGCUAGAUCAGGAGACUGGACCAGGAGGCUGGACCAAUUGGCUCUGUGGUCCUAGGUUUUCUAAUUGUUUAUGGAGAAGAUUGAUCUUCACAAGCUAGUUUUUUCAUAGGCAAAAGCAAAAGUCUCUUCCUGUGUUAUUAAGUGAAAAUGGCUGAUUAUAAAAAGGGGCUUACAAACAAUAUUUAACAAAUCUUCAUCAAGUCCCUACUCUGUGGCAGGCCCUGGGUCAGGAGGUUGCCGAUUCCAGGAAGAAUCAGACCUUAUCCCUGCCCUUGAGUCUCAAGAAGAGGAAAGGAAAACAAAUAAGCAUAGUACAGUGUGAAAAGUGGGACUGUGGUCAAAUUUCAGUCUGCAAACUCAGAAUGGAUGAAAUAUGAAAGACUGACAACAUCAAGUUGUCAAGUAGGACAGGAUGUGGAACCACUGGAACUCAUACGUGACUGAUGGGAAUGCAAAAUGAUACCGAUCCCUUGGAAAACUCCUUGGCAACUUUAAUAAACAUAAAUCUACCCUAUGAUCCAGAAAUUCCACUCUGAGUCACGUCUCCAAGAGCAAUGAAAAUAUAUACCCACAAAAGACUGCACAUAAAUCAGAACAGCAUUGUUGAUAAUAGCCCAAACUGGAAACAACCUAAAUAUUCACCAAUAGAAGCCUGAAUAAAUUCAUACUGUGGGAUACUCUACAGCAAUGAGAUCAUGAAAGAUAGUGUGGCUUCCACUUUGGUCUCUUAUAUCACCUACUGGGGGAAGCCAGCUGCCAUGUUGUGAGGACACUCAAGAAGCUCUGUGGAGAGGCUCUUUUGAAGGAGAACCAAUGCCUCCCACCAACAGCCAGCAUCAACUUGGGACAUGUGAGUGAACCAAUUGGAAGUGGAUCCUCCAGCCAAGUCAAGCCUUCAGAUGACUGAAGCCCCAGCCUCAUGAGAGAUAGCAGGCUAAAACUGCCCAGCUAAGCUGCUCCUGAAAUCCUGACCCCCCAAAUUAUAAAAGACAAUAAAUUAUUAUUGUUGUUUUAAGCCACUACAUGUUGGGGUGAUUCAUUAUGCAGCAACAGAUAAUAAAUACAUCACCCUUGUAUUCAUUACUGACGUUUAUUGGGAGCAUAGUGUGUGAUUUUUCAUUUAACCCUUCCAGUAAUGCUGUGAGAUAGGUAAGUUUAUUAUCCCCAUUUUACAGACAAAGAAACUGAGGUUCAGAAUGAGUGAAGUCUCUUCCCUGCAGAGUCCCUGACCUUAAGGAUUUUAUGGUCAGAUCUGAGAGACAGAAGCUCAAAAACCUAUGACUCUAGGCAAAAUAUGGCCCUGGGAUCCCAGGAUGGGGAGAGGAAUUUUGGAUUCUGGCUUCUACUUGGGCCUCAUAGCUUGGGAUGACAGAGGGUACACUCCAAAGGCAACAAACACCUUCCCUGCCCUUGAGCACCUGCUUAAUCAAGGGGAGAAAGUUCAGAUGCUUAUGCAUAAUGUGUGGUAUUUCUCUGCACAGAAACACACACGGGCCUGUACAGUAAUAAUGAAAAGCAACAACCCAUCUUAAGGGCUUGGCACUUUGCACUUACAAAGCCUUAUACAUCCCUAAUUCCAUGGAAUCACACCUGGCAGGUAAGCGUGGCCCUGUACACUUUACAGAUGGGGACACUGAGGUCAGGGAAGUUGUGUGAUUCUUGCAGAGCCAAGCAGCCUAGAAGUGGCAGAGUUCAGGUAAAACCCAGUAACUGGGUGUUUUACAAGUGCUAAGGGUAUGACAGGAGGUAGGCAGGGCUCCUCUGAGGGAGGUUUCAGGAAGAGGUCACCCGCGAGCAGGGUUCUGAGAAUGGGGAAGUGGCUUCGGGGAGAGGAUGGUGCCUGGGAGGGUUUGAGAGGAAACAGAGUGAGUCCCUAGGGGCUCCCAGGGUGUACGAGGGCAAAGAGGUGAACAUAGCUGGAGUGGAAAGAAUGAGAAAGCCUGGGUGUGUGGAAGAGCCUUGGUGUGUUAGGUGGAAUUGCAGCUGGAGGGUGUGUGCAGAAUGAGAGGUCUUGGUAUUGGGGCCAAAGUCAACUGCCACGCCUAAGGAGGGAGGAAGGCGCUUAUUUUGCUUCUUGGGUGAAAAUCAUUCCUGUGAUUUAGUUCUCCUUGGGGGAGGGGCGGGGUUUCAUCCAGCCUUAGCAAAUGCAUUCAAUCUUCACUACUUCUCUCUGUCAGAUGGGGUGGAUAGAGGUCCAAAUGUGGGCAGAAGCUUUUAUGUCCCAUCGCAGGGCAGCUAAGAACAGCUGCGCGGGUCGUUCACUGUACAUGGGCACUAGGCCAAAAGGGACUGAAAUCCGGACGGCCCUUUGUUUACUAAGCCAUGUGCCUGCAAGGCUGCACCUGCCCAGAAGGAAUGCUUCCUAUUUCUUUUCUUUAAAAAAAAAUUUUUUUUAUGAGCUAAAAUUCACAUAACAUAGAAUCUACCAUUUAAACCACUUUAAAGUAUAAAGUUCAGUGCUUUUAGUAUAGUCACAAUGUUGUGCAACCAUCACCACUAGCAGUUUUCGGAACAUUUCCAUCAUCCCAAAAAACAACUCCAUAACUCCUAAUUCCCCCCCUUUCCCCAUCUCUUGGCGACCAUGAAUCUGAACUUUCAUAUGAAUGGAGUUCUAUAAUUUGCUGUCUUCUGUGACUGUCUUCUUUCAUUUGGCAUUAAAACUUUUCAAGUUUUACCCAUGUUGUGGUAUGUGUCUGUACUUCAUUCCUUUUUAUGGCUCGAUAAUAUCGCAUUGUGUGAAUAUUCCACAAUUUGUGUAUCCCUUCAUGAGUUGAUGGACAUAUGGGUUAUAUCCACUGGCUGUUAAGAACAGGCGGGUCACGGUGGCUCACGCCUGAAAUCCCAGCACUUUGGGAGGCUGAGGUGGGCGGAUCACCUGAGGUCAGGAGUUCUAGAUCAGCUUUGCCAACACGGUGAAACCUUGUCUCUACCAAAUAUAUAAAAAUU